rnacentral:rRNA from 1 species
GAUGAACGCUGGCGGCGUGCUUAACACAUGCAAGUCGAGCGAGAAAAGUUCUUCGGAGCUUUUCUAGCGGCGGACGGGUGAGUAACACGUGGGCAACCUGCCUCAUAGAGGGGAAUAGCCUUCCGAAAGGAAGAUUAAUACCGCAUAAUGUUGUUGAAAGGCAUCUUUUAACAAUUAAAGGAGCAAUCCGCUAUGAGAUGGGCCUGCGGCGCAUUAGUUAGUUGGUGAGGUAACGGCUCACCAAGGCGACGAUGCGUAGCCGACCUGAGAGGGUGAUCGGCCACAUUGGAACUGAGAUACGGUCCAGACUCCUACGGGAGGCAGCAGUGGGGAAUAUUGCACAAUGGGGGAAACCCUGAUGCAGCAACGCCGCGUGAGUGAUGAAGGUCUUCGGAUUGUAAAGCUCUGUCUUUAGGGACGAUAAUGACGGUACCUAAGGAGGAAGCCACGGCUAACUACGUGCCAGCCGCCGCGGUAA